rnacentral:lncRNA from 1 species
ACACAAGUACCUGCUUCAUCCGGUUGCUGGCCUGAUGAAGUAUCACCAGUGUGGAAAGAGAGAGAAAAGGGAUUCUAAAACACCUUUUCAGAAGGCUUCUCUCGUUUUGGAUCAAGUGUCUAUUGCUGUGUCUGAGGUUGGUUUCUCUAAAUGCUACACUUGGGUUAACUUUCAUUCUGUUUUAGGAUCAAUAUCGGGAUGGUAUUCAACUGUUGGAGGGUGUUUCACGGUACAGGAUACGAAUGGAGUUCUCUCUCUUCAGACCUAUGAUACCCGUGUUGGUAGAUGCUAAGGCAUGGUGGCGCUAUGCUGGUCGUGCGGUAACGCAGCAGCAGAGAAAGUCAAGGUUCGUUUUCAUUAAUAACCGAGUAUGAGCAAAUGUUUGCAGGUGUAACUUCUCUUGGGAACAUCUGUCUCGAGCAUCAGGGUUACGAAAGAAAUAUGUGGAUCUUUAUGUUAGCGGGCUCCAGCAGGGCAAGUUUGACAAUUUUGAAAUAAGGCAAAUCGACCGGGAGCUAGACGUAGAAGCUAUUCUACUUUGGAGGUCGGUAGUUUGUUUAUGCUUUCUGUUAGUUGAUGGAGAAGUGGUGGCUGCAGAAUGCUUGCCCAUGCAAAAGUUGAGACGGCAAAGUUAAAAGAGGCAGCCGCGGCACGCGAAAAGUCCAGGAAAAGCACCUGGUGGCCAUUUGGCGGGUAUUGUGGCAUAUGUUUUCAUUUGUUUUACAUUAAUCGCUUGCUAUGCAGGAGCGGCGCUGGUCCAAGGGCCUCAGUUGCCCAAGGCCCUGAAACGGAAGCGGCCCCAGCGCAACUUACAAAGGAAGAAUGGAAUAAGAUUAACGAGCUUCUAAGCUAUCAACCGGGGCAAGACUAUCCGCUGCUUUCUACUCAAGAGCCACAGAACAUGCUGCAAACAAUGCUCGACGUGACCAUAAAACAGAGCUUGGCGUGCAUAAAAGACAGCACCGAUUUGGUCAUAUUAUGUGGGACUUUCUCCAAUUUAAACGUUUCUCUCAAGCUGUUCCCGAAAACGUUCUUCUGCGACACUAAGUUGACGUACUAUGGCCUUUCAUCUCCAGAGGGGCCUCUCAUUUCGGUAAGCUGAAUGGAAUUUGCAUGUCUUAAGAUGAUAAUAUCUGUAUGGUUUGACAGAGCGUGAGUAGAGAGGGAAAAGCGCAAGCGUUGGAUUUGACGUUUGCGUAUGUUCCUUUCGAAGAACAUUUGGAUUGGAAGCUGUCUGUCGCGAUGUCAUCAUGCUAUGUGACGGUAACGUUUUGUGUUGAAAGAGUUCAUCCCAGCUUACAUAAUGCGUGCAGGUUUGUAGAUCCAGUUUUGACAGGUCAUGCACUUUAUGAAAUCUGGCCAAGCCAUGAGCCCGACAGUGGCUUUGGAAACUGCUGUGACUUUGCAGGUAUGAAGCUCCGUAGCAAAAAUAUAUGUUACUCAUUUCACAGUCCAUGCAUGCCAGACAAAGGCAGAAGAGGUAACAAGGCGUGCUCAAGAACAGAUACUAUCUCAACUAGAGAAACAGAGAAGGUAUUCAAAAGUUUUUGCUACUCUUUUUGGCUUGACUUUUUCUUGCAUGCAGGUUCUCUAUAGAUAUUGAUCUUGACGCUCCAAAAGUCUUAAUUCCUGCACUCAAAGAUGAAGGAAUUGGAAAGAAAAGCCAAUUGUUGGUAGACUUGGGACAUUUUAAUCUUCGAACACUGGUACGUGCAUAAGAUGCAUAUAAAACUUACAACAUCCUUCUUCAGGGGAAUGACGACGUUGAGUUCCUGAAACGAAGUCGCUACACUAAACUUUAUGUAUCUGGACGGGAUAUAUCGGCUUUCUUUGUUGAUGGUGAUUUCGAAUGGGCUCACUUUCCUGCGCUGGCCACAGAUGCUGGUGACAAUGCAUAUUCAAUCUUUCCUGUACUUGACCGUUGUGGGAUGUCGAUUAUGCUGCAUAUGGUGAAGCUAGUUACGACAUAGUUUGUGGUUAUUAUGUUCCAGGCUCAAUAUGAAGAUUUGAAUUGGCCUUCAACAUGCGUUGCAAUUGAAGUUCCUCGCCUUGGUAUCCAUUUUUCUCCUGCAAGAUACCUUAGGCUGCUCUAUCUUCUGCACGCUCUGGAGUCGGCUGACCGUUCCAGCUCCCAGCCGAACGCUUUAUCUUGGGAACCAUCAGAGGCAGCUGGAGAUGCACGAGUGCUUUUGUGGGGGGUAAAUUGUUACUUUCCUCGUUCAUCAGCAUCUAAGCAUCACUCAUUCUGCAGGGAAUUGGUAAUAUUACUGCAGAAUGGCAGCCUUGUUGGAUUGCAUUGGCAGGGCCAUACCUGUACGUUCUAGAGGCAUAAGACUCAAAGAACAGCCCACAUCAAUGCAUAAGCUCUCCUCAAAGGACAGGAGGAAAGCCUCCUCUACCCUGGAAAUCCCAAGCUUUUUUGGAGAAUAUCACACUCUAGAGUCUCUACUGCAAUGAAAGGCCCAUGACAUAUUUGAAACUCUCGCUUAAGCAUCUUGCAUUGGAGAUUUCCCUUGUGGCCAGAGAUGAGUGCAGUGAUGUUGUGAGGUUUAUUUAUGAUGCACUUGCACUGGACACACUUCUUCCAGUAAAAUCUGAACCACAUGACGUACUCUAGUCUAGAUUCACAUGCUUCUUGUCGAAAAAUGAACAAGGUUAUGAGUAAGUGAUUUGCUAGUCAUUAUUGAUCAAAGUGAUUUUGAAAAAAUGCUUUGAAUGUGGAGUAGUUAACUAUGUUUGCCUCCAAAAGAGUUUUUUUCCAUGUUACUUGGCCAAUGAGUGAUUGCAAAAAGUUGUAAAGCUUGUAAUCAUCCUUGCCAAUGCUAUUUGAUGGACAAUAUUGUUCAAAGUGAGUGAUAUAUGUUUUGGCAAAGAUGUCACCAUUGCUAAAUAAGUAUGGCAAGUUAAUGCCUUGCUAUAAAAUAUGGAUGUGCAUGGGGAGAACCAUCAAUGGUAUACUCUUUCACUUAGUAUCUAUGGUAAACAAUGUUUCUUUCUUGCUAGAAAGAGCAUUUUGGUAAUCUAGCUUGCAUAGAAGGUGUGAAAACAUCCCUAUAUCCUAUGCAUUAUAUGAAAGAUUACUAGCUGCCAUCUCUGGCUUAAACAAGUUUGAACUAGCAUAAAGUGUCUAAUAUGUAGUAAAUGCAUUAAAGAAUUUUAAUUUGUGUGAGAAUAAAAUGUCCAAAAUGGGAUAGUUCCAAAUAAAUAAGCAAACUACUGUGGAUUUCCCCUAACCAAGAUUGUUGUCCUUUUGCAAAUCUCAAUUCCUCAUAAAGAAAAGAGAAAUUUAGCUAUAAAAUUGAAGAAAGAUAUGAAAGAUAUCAUGAAAGAAUAUAGAUAUAGGAUAUCACCUAAAAACAAUGGAAUAAAAAACAAAGAAAACAAGCUAUAACACUCAAAAUGUCUCAAAGUGAAUAUAAUUUGAUAGAAAUCUCUCAAACUCUGGCUACAAAAUUUGAUAUAGACUCAUUAAAAAAACUUAUAUUUAAACAAAGAGAAUGAGAUUAAAAAGAUGGAGCUAAAACACCAAAAUGCCUAUAGAAAACUAAUUUAAACAUUAAAUUUAUAACUCAUGUAAUUAUGGGAUAAGAUUUGGAUAUAUUAUUAUUAUGAAUCUUUGGAACCUUGAGGAUCCAUUUAGACACUUUCCCCAUCUCAACACACACAUUUUGAGUCUUCAAGUGAUAAAUAUGUUAAAGGCUAUAUUAUCAAAUAAUUUCCCCUUUUUUAAUUGGUUGGUGAAAUUUUUUUUGCUACCUUGGAGUUAGAAAAUAUAUGGUGCUUGCUUCACUUAGAUUAGGAUCAACUUAUUGUAGUUAGUGAUGAAGCACAAGUGAAAGAUCAUGAGAGGGAGACAAGUGGGAGAUUAUUUCAAGCUUAGAUAGAAAGUUUGAUGAUUUACAAAUGAAAAAAGUCUAUAUUAAUGGGAAUAAUAGUAUAUAGAUCCUUGAAUUAAAUUUAUUUUUAUUAAAUAAUUGCCUUUUCUCCAGUAGACUUAAAUAAAAUAUGUUACAUUUGGUUAGCAUGUGUUGAAAGAAGGGGCACAACAUUCAUACAUAGAAGAAAAAAUAUUUAAAAAAAGAGGGGCACAUAGGAGAAAUAUAAAGUGGAAAAAAAAUAUUAAAAAAAAGAGAUAAAAAGAGAGGAAGAUGUUACCAAGAAGAGAGAAAAAAUAUUAAAAAAAGAGGAGGAAGACUUUUAAAGAGGAUAAAAAAUAUUAAAAACGAAGGAGAGAGGAAAAGGCCUAUGGCNNNNNNNNNNNNNNNNNNNNNNNNNNNNNNNNNNNNNNNNNNNNNNNNNNNNNNNNNNNNNNNNNNNNNNNNNNNNNNNNNNNNNNNNNNNNNNNNNNNNNNNNNNNNNNNNNNNNNNNNNNNNNNNNNNNNNNNNNNNNNNNNNNNNNNNNNNNNNNNNNNNNNNNNNNNNNNNNNNNNNNNNNNNNNNNNNNNNNNNNNNNNNNNNNNNNNNNNNNNNNNNNNNNNNNNNNNNNNNNNNNNNNNNNNNNNNNNNNAGGAGAAAAAUUGUAUAAAUAGACUUCGUUUGCAAGGAGGUGGAAACUGAUCAAAAUGCAGCGAUCCAAACUCCAGGCUCCAGUCGCCUCUGCGGCAUUACUCCUGGUGCUAGCACUGCUGCGGCGCUAUGCAUUUCGCCAGGGAUCACCAACAAUGUCAUCGGAGCUCUCAACUUCUUUCUAUGCUAGCACUUAUCCCGAUCUCCCUCAGAUCGUGAGAAGUGUGAUUCACUCUGAAUUUUCCAACGACAGUCGAUCUGCUGCGUCGAUCCUCAAGCUCCACUUCCGAGAUUGCUUCUCUCGAGUAAGUCAGAAAUUAAAAUAGCGUUACUCAUUUAUGGCUGCCAGGGCUGCGACGGAUCGCUGCUCCUCCAGCGAGGAGAUGGGCGCUCCGCCAAGGGACUCAAAACCAUCAACAACGUCAAGCGCGCCGUGGAGACUUCAUGCCCGGCAACAGUAUCGUGCGCAGACAUUCUUGCGCUGAGCGCCCGGGAAUCCGUCAUAGCUGUGAGUGAGACUCUCCAUCUUGAGUUGAUCAUUCUCUUUCGACUUUGCAGCUGGGCGGCCCUUCAUGGACAGUAGAAUUUGGCCGACGGGACAGUCCUGCGACCGUCGCCGCCGCAAUGGAGGCCAUUCCCAGCCCAAACCUCACUGCAACGCAGCUCAUCCAGAGCUUCCAAAGGCGGGGUCUUUCCAAGCGUGAUCUCGUAGCGCUUUCAGGAGGCCACUCCAUCGGCCAGGCCCAGUGCUCUGCAUUUAGCGCACGCCUCUUCAAUGGAACCCCAGGAGAUAGCAUCGAUCGGGCCUUCAAAUCUCGACUCGAGAAGAAUUGCCCUCCAACAGCCCCAGACAAAUUGACCAAUUUGGAUCCAUCCCCCACCACCUUCGACAACUUGUACUUUCGAGCUCUCCUGGCGAAUCAGUCGCUCCUCUUUUCAGACCAGCAGCUCUUGGAGAUUGAUCUGGUGGGCUUUGUCAAGGAGUUUGCGGCCAACCAGCAGACAUUCUUUACCGCCUUCGCCAAUGGCAUGAUCAAAAUGGGCAAGCUCUCGCCAAUCACAGGAGGGCAUGGUGAAAUUCGAUCCUCGUGCUAGUUUUUUUCCUAUACAUGUAAAUCUAUUCCCCACAUAAAAAUAUACACCACAGCCCUGACUAUAGAGAAAGGAAUGUUGGCAUAUCCCGUAGCUUGAUGAUGGUGGUGGAAAUUUUCUCGUCCUGAUAAAUCACUCUGGUGAGAGAUUCCAUUCUUCCCAAUCAAGAUCCCCCUUAAGCUCAGCCACUUGGCCAAUGAGCCAAGAUUUUCGCCGCGAGCCAGGGCACGUCAUCGCAGCUGCCAAGGAUGAUAGAGUCCUUCAAAGAGGACAUUCCAAGACAUUGGUAGUCAACCACGAGGAAAUCCACUUCAGAAAUAACACCUUGCACUGAGACCUUGACGAAAUUUCAAUUGCCACGGUUAGGAAUCUUCAACUCUUAAACCCUAACGUUAAUAUAUAUAAACCUUAGGUUUUAGACGUAUUGCCACGCAAUGGCGAAAAUUCACUGGCAUAUACUUGCUUGCUGUGGAGAAAAUUUUGUGCUGCCUAGGGCUAGCUAGGCGCUGCGAUCGGCAGGAGUGAUGCGCUUGGGCGCUCGGUGUCGUCAUGUUUGAGGCUCAUGUGAGUGAUCGAUCGCUAGUUUGGGGAUUGGAGAGAUGGAUUGCAUUGGCGGACUGGAUUGAGCUCGCGAUUUUCUCCAUUUCUUGUUUCUGCAGGUCUUGUAUCUUCUUCGCAGAUACCUGGGCCAGUAUGUGCGGGGUCUCUCAGCGGAGGCGCUCCAGAUCAGUGUGUGGAAAGGUGAGAGCUAGAUCUUUUGCUCGGGGGGUGUUGAAAUUUUGGUGUUUUUUGGACAGGCGAUGUAGUGCUCAAGGACUUGCAGCUCAAGGCUGAAGCACUGAAUGCUCUGAGGCUUCCUCUCACUGUCAAAGCUGGAUUCCUUGGGUCUGUCACGUUGAAGGCAAGGCAUUGAUCAAGAAAAGUGUACCUUCGAUUCUUAUGCUUUCGUUUUUCUUAGAUUCCUUGGAACAAGCUUGGAAAAGAUCCGGUGAUUGUACUUCUCGACCGGGUUUUUGUUUUGGCGGAACCUGUUGAAGAUGAACAGCUUUUCAAGGUACGAUUUGGUUUUUAGCUUCAAGCGUUACGGAAACUUUCGUGAAAUGCGGUUGCAGAACGAGAACAUGGAAUCCUGGCUUGACGCUAAGCGGAGCCAGAUUGAGGUUAGUACAUACUUGCCUGUGAAGUUUAUUCUCAAACGCUUUUUUGUGUCUUUAAGGAGCUGGAGAUGGCAUUGCUUGAUGCGAAGGCAGGAAGAUCCGGUGAUGAUGCGGUAUGUGCCGCAAAAUGCUGUUUGAGGUUUCGUGUUAAAUUUUCUGUUUUCUGCAGUCGCCGGAAAGUAAGUCCUGGUUAGGCUCGCUCGUUGCGACGAUCAUUGGCAAUCUUAAAGUCUCCGUGACUAAUCUUCAUAUUCGUUACGAAGACACCCUCAGGUCGCUUUCAUCUCUAUCAAGCUAAAUGCCGGUACUGAUACUGGCUUCAUUUUUCAGCAACCCCUCCCAUCCAUUUUGUUUUGGCGUUACUUUAGCCAAAACUUGCCGCUGUGACCAUUGACGAGAAUGAUGUAGAAACCUUCGUAACUAGCGGAGCUCUUGACAAGCUUCACGAGGUAUUUUGAUCAAUUUUGUAACGUGUACUUCAGUUUCUUUUUUCCUGCUUGCUGUGCAGUCGCUCCAGCUGGAUAGUUUUUCUAUCUACCAUGACUCGGAUACUGGGCCGUGGACUCUGGAGAAACGGUGGGAUGAGAUGACAUCCAAAGAAUGGAGCGAGGUUUGUGUUUCCUUCAAUGAAAACAGCAUUUAAAAUUAUUAUGGUUUCAGAUGUUUGAACCGAGUAUUAAAGGGAAAAUACAACACAAGUACCUGCUUCAUCCGGUUGCUGGCCUGAUGAAGUAUCACCGGUGUGGAAAGAGAGAGAAAAGGGAUUCUAAAACACCUUUUCAGAAGGCUUCUCUCGUUUUGGAUCAAGUGUCUAUUGCUGUGUCUGAGGUUGGUUUCUCUAAAUGCUACACUUGGGUUAACUUUCAUUCUGUUUUAGGAUCAAUAUCGGGAUGGUAUUCAACUGUUGGAGGGUGUUUCACGGUACAGGAUACGAAUGGAGUUCUCUCUCUUCAGACCUAUGAUACCCGUGUUGGUAGAUGCUAAGGCAUGGUGGCGCUAUGCUGGUCGUGCGGUAACGCAGCAGCAGAGAAAGUCAAG